GGAUGUGAGGGCGAUCUGGCUGCGACAUCUGUCACCCCAUUGAUCGCCAGGGUUGAUUCGGCUGAUCUGGCUGGCUAGGCGGGUGUCCUCUUCCUCCCUCACCGCUCCAUGUGCGUCCCUCCCGAAGCUGCGCGCUCGGUCGAAGAGGACGACCAUCCCCGAUAGAGGAGGACCGUUCUUCGGUCAAGGGUAUACGAGUAGCUGCGCUCCCCUGCUAGAACCUCCAAACAAGCUCUCAAAAGAGACAUAGAUGGUAGAUAAGUACAUAAAAGUCAAACGACUUCAUGACUUCAUUA
rnacentral:snRNA from 1 species